rnacentral:rRNA from 1 species
UACAGAGGUCCCAAGCGUUGUUCGGAAUUACUGGGCGUAAAGCGCACGUAGGCGGAUGUGUCAGUCAGGGGUGAAAGUCCCGGAGCUCAACUUCGGAACUGCCUCUGAUACAGCACGUCUUGAGUCCGAUAGAGGUGGGUGGAAUUCCUAGUGUAGAGGUGAAAUUCGUAGAUAUUAGGAAGAACACCGGUGGCGAAGGCGGCCCACUGGAUCGGUACUGACGCUGAGGUGCGAAAGCGUGGGGAGCAAACAGG